rnacentral:rRNA from 1 species
GGAGCAUGUGGUUUAAUUCGAUGCAACGCGAAGAACCUUACCUACUCUUGACAUCCAGAGAACUUAGCAGAGAUGCUUUGGUGCCUUCGGGAGCUCUGAGACAGGUGCUGCAUGGCUGUCGUCAGCUCGUGUUGUGAAAUGUUGGGUUAAGUCCCGCAACGAGCGCAACCCUUAUCCUUUGUUGCCAGCGAUUCGGUCGGGAACUCAAAGGAGACUGCCGGUGAUAAACCGGAGGAAGGUGGGGAUGACGUCAAGUCAUCAUGGCCCUUACGAGUAGGGCUACACACGUGCUACAAUGGCGCAUACAAAGAGAAGCGACCUCGCGAGAGCAAGCGGACCUCAUAAAGUGCGUCGUAGUCCGGAUCGGAGUCUGCAACUCGACUCCGUGAAGUCGGAAUCGCUAGUAAUCGUGGAUCAGAAUGCCACGGUGAAUACGUUCCCGGGCCUUGUACACACCGCCCGUCACACCAUGGGAGUGGGUUGCAAAAGAAGUAGUAGCUUAACCCUUCGGGAGGGCGCUUACCACUUUGUGAUGCAUGACUGGGGUGAAGUCGUAACAAGGUAACC